UCUCUAUUCGUCGGCAGCGUCAGAUGUGUAUAAGAGACAGCAUUUAAAGAGUGCGUAACAGCUCACUAGUCGAGCGUUCCUGCGCGGAAAAUAAUCGGGCAUCAAACUGAAUACCGAAGCUAUGGAUUUGCAAUUUAUUGCAAGUGGUAGGGGAGCAUUGUAGUGGCGCUGAAGGUUAACUGUGAGGUUAAUUGGAGCAGCUACAAAAGCAAAUGUAGGCAUGAGUAACGAUAAAAGGGGUGAGAGACCCCUUCGCCGAAAGACUAAGGUUUCCUCGAUCUAUGCUAAUCAGAUCAGGGUUAGUCGGGACCUAAGGAGUAGCCGAAAGGCGAAUCCGAUGGCAAACGGGUUAAUAUUCCCGUACCUACUAUAGAAUAAAAGUGACGGCGCUUACGGCGUAUCGCGUACUGACGGAAUAGUACGUUGAAGGCUUCGGCCGAUAGUACAUGGACUCCUCCGGGAAGAAAUGAUAGUGUACUUAGUAAGCGUCCAAGAAAUAGCGACUAUAGCAGCCCGUACCGCAAACCGACACAGGUAGUCGAGAAGAGUAUUCUCAGGCGCUCGAGUGAUUCGUGGCUAAGGAACUAGGCAAAAUGGUCUCGUAACUUCGGGAGAAGAGACGCUCUAAUUAAAUUUGGAGCCGCAGUGAAGAGGCCCAGGCGACUGUUUAGCAAAAACACAGGACUCUGCAAACUCGAAAGAUGAAGUAUAGGGUCUGACACCUGCCCGGUGCUGGAAGGUUAAGGAAGGGGCUUAGCGCUUGCGCGAAGGUCUUAACUGAAGCCCCAGUAAACGGCGGCCGUAACUAUAACGGUCCUAAGGUAGCGAAAUUCCUUGUCGGGUAAGUUCCGACCUGCACGAAUGGUGUAACGAUCUGGGCACUGUCUCAGCCACGAGCUCGGUGAAAUUGAAGUAUCGGUGAAGAUGCCGAUUACCCGCAACGGGACGAAAAGACCCCGUGCACCUUUACUACAGCUUCACAUUGUGCUUGAAUAUAAGAUGUGUAGGAUAGGUGGGAGACUAUGAAGGUGUAUCGCUAGAUAUGCUGGAGUCAUCGUUGAAAUACCACCCUUCUUAUAUUUAGGUUCUAAUCUAUGAAAAUGGAGACAUUGUGUGGUGGGUAGUUUGACUGGGGUGGUCGCCUCCAAAAGAGUAACGGAGGCUUGCAAAGGUACCCUCAGCAUGGUUGGUAAUCAUGCAAAGAGCAUAUUAGUAUAAGGGUGCUUGACUGAGAGACCGACGGGUCGAACAGGUAGGAAACUAGGCUAAAGUGAUCCGGUAGUUCCGCAUGGAAGGGCUAUCGCUCAAAGGAUAAAAGGUACGCCGGGGAUAACAGGCUGAUCUCCCCCAAGAGCUCAUAUCGACGGGGAGGUUUGGCACCUCGAUGUCGGCUCGUCACAUCCUGGGGCUGGAGAAGGUCCCAAGGGUUGGGCUGUUCGCCCAUUAAAGUGGCACGCGAGCUGGGUUCAGAACGUCGCAAGACAGUUCGGUCUCUAUCUGUUGUGGGCGUAGGAAUAUUGAAGAGGUCUGACACUAGUACGAGAGGACCGUGUUGGACGAACCUCUAGUGUACCAGUUGUGCCGCCAGGUGCAUUGCUGGGUAGCUAUGUUCGGUCAGGAUAAGCGCUGAAAGCAUCUAAGCGCGAAGCCAUCUCUGAGAUGAAUAUUCCAUGGAAUUUAUUCCAAGAGGGUCGUAGAAGAUGACUACGUAGAUAGGCUAUAGGUGGAAGUGCAGCGAUGUAUGGAGCCGAGUAGUACUAAUUACCCGAAUGCUUCCUUU
rnacentral:rRNA from 1 species